AUUGAACGCUGGCGGCAGGCCUAACACAUGCAAGUCGAACGAGUCGCGGACGGGUGAGUAAUGUCUGGGAAACUGCCUGAUGGAGGGGGAUAACUACUGGAAAAGGUAGCUACUACCGCCUACCAUCGGAUGUGCCCAGAUGGGAUUAGCUAGUAGGUGGGGUAAAGGCUCACCUAGGCGACGAUCCCUAGCUGGUCUGAGAGGAUGACGAGCCACACUGGAACUGAGACACGGUCCAGACUCCUACGGGAGGCAUCAGUGGGGAAUAGUGCACAAUGGGCGCAAGCCUGUUGCAGCCAUGCCGCGUGUAUGAAGAAGGCCGUGGGUGUGUAAAGUACGGUCUGCGGGGUGGCGUUACCCGCAGAUGAAGCACGGGCUAACUCUGUGCCAGCAGCCGCGGUAAUUC
rnacentral:rRNA from 1 species